rnacentral:rRNA from 1 species
AUUGAACGCUGGCGGCAGGCCUAACACAUGCAAGUCGAGCGGAUGAAGGGAGCUUGCUCCUGGAUCCAGCGUCGCACGGGGGAGUAAUGCCCAGGAAUCUCCUUGGCAGUGCGUGAUAAUGUCUUGAAACGGGCGCGAAUACCGCAUACGUCCUGAGGGAGAAAGUGGGGGAUCGUCGGACCGCACGCGCGCAGACGAGCCUAGGUCGGAGUAGCUAGUUUGUGGGGUAAAGGCCUACCAAGCCGACCAUUCGUAACUGGUCUGAGAGGAUGAUCAGUCACACUGGAACUGAGACAGCGACCAGGGUCCUACGGGAGGGAGCAGUGGGGAAUAUUGGGCAAUGGGCGAAAACCUGAUACAGCCAUGCCGCGUGUGUGAAGAAGAUCUUCGGAUUGUAAAGCACUUUUUGUUGGGAGAAAGGGCAGUAAGUUAAUACCUUGCUGUUUUGACGUUAACAGCAGAAUAAGCACCGGCUAACUACGUG